GUAGGUGGCAAGCGUUGUCCGGAAUUAUUGGGCGUAAAGCGCGCGCAGGCGGUCCUUUAAGUCUGAUGUGAAAGCCCACGGCUCAAUCGUGGAGGGUCAUUGGAAACUGGGGGACUUGAGUACAGAAGAGGAAAGCGGAAUUCCAAGUGUAGCGGUGAAAUGCGUAGAGAUUUGGAGGAACACCAGUGGCGAAGGCGGCUUUUCUGGUCUGUAACUGACGCUGAGGCGCGAAAGCGUGGGGAGCAAACAGGGAUUAGAUACCCUGGUAGUCCACGCCGUAAACGAUGAGUGCUAAGUGUUAGGGGGUUUCCGCCCCCUUAGUGCUGCAGCUAACGCAUUAAGCACUCCGCCUGGGAGUACGGCCGCAAGGCUG
rnacentral:rRNA from 1 species